rnacentral:SRP_RNA from 1 species
GCUGGGCAUGGUGGUUGUUGCCUGUAGUCCUAGCUACCAGGAGGCUGAGGUGGGAGGAUCACUUGAGACUAGGAGUUCCAGGCUGCAGUGAGCCAUGAUCACACCACUGCACUCCAGCCUGGGUGACAAAGUGAGAUUCUAUCUCAA